rnacentral:rRNA from 1 species
AUGAUGGCUCCUUGUCCUCCUUGUCCCAUCCCUGCUUGGCUCCACGGUAGAUGUUGUAGAUGCCUUGCUUAUGGGCAUCGUGCGGCUGUUUGCAGAGAUCUGUUGCGGUGCUCCCGUUAUUUGGAGAAUGGUCAUCGUGCACGUGAAUAUCGCAACCCCUGGCGUCCUCUGAGCUCACUAUCAUGCCUUGAUGUGUCGCAUGUGUCUGGCCUCCGUGCUGUGCAUCGUGUUGCUCCUGCUUCAUGUGAGGGUUCGGUGAGAUCCACACCCCCUUCCAAGGCGCUUCAUCGUGGGUCUUGGGCGUCUAUUGUCUCUGCUGUUGCAGUCCGCACUGGUUGA